GUUUCUUUGUUCCUCUAAUAUUUUUAAUAUAAGGAAAGCUAUUUAUUUAUCACCCAUCUUACUUUCCUCAGCACGAGUGACCAACAACCAGAUUAGUCAGUCAAGGAUAUGAGAGUUUAAAAACACAGACUAAUGCUGAAGGGUGCAGAUCUCUAAUGAGACCUCCCGGUAGGUCUGCUGCUUCUCUUCUGUGAUUGAGCCGAUUUAUCCUCCUGAUCUGAAUUAUUGGUCCUUGACCUGACGUGUCUUCAGGUGCUGGUGUACAGCCCCAGUAAUGUCCCUGUGCCGGCUCCGUUCCACUUCUUCAGCAGCCUUCCUGCUGCGCUGGACUGUCAGCAGCUGGGUCUGGGCAGAAUCCACUGCUCCUCAUAUAAAGAUCUUGUGCACAGUGGUGUUGUGUUCACUGUGGAACAAGAACACUGGGACGACCCAGUGCAUGAAUCAGCACACGUCCCGGUGCAACAGAGCCUCCAACUCUUCCUCUUCUUGCAGCACGAUGACCCCUUCAUCUCUGAGGUCACUGAUUUUAUUGCUGCAGAGAUGUUAAUAGAGCACCACCUGGAGGAUAUUCUGAGCAACAACAGGCAGGCCAUCACAGCAGCUGUUCAGACUGAACUCUGCAACUGCCUGAAAGCACAAAAUCGCAG